UGCUCCGAUAGCGUAUGUAAAUGUUGUUGCAGUUAAAACGCUCGUAGUCGAUAUUUGACUGCAUUCGUCGGCGCAUCCUCCGAAAGGACGGAAGCGUGACGGGCAGUUUUUGACAGGUGGUGGCGGGGGUUAAUUCUCUCGUUGUUGCCUGACCUUUCACUUGGAUUAAAAUGGCAAGUUCAAAUUAGGCGUUUCGCCUGAACAAUUUAGCCUGGAAUGAUGGAACACGACUAUUGUCAAGUUCGUCGGUUUAUUUGAUUUUAGUAAUGAGAAAUAGGGACAGUUGGGGCGAUUUCUAUUUGACAGUCAGAGGUGAAAUUCUAUAACCUGUCAAGGAGAAACUUCUGCGAAAGCAUCUCGCAUGGAUGUUUUCAUUG
rnacentral:rRNA from 1 species